GUUUAUUUUAUUAUUUAUUUGGAACUCUCUCUCUCUCUCUGUGCUCUUGAUAUUUUCUAACGCAACCACCUUUAGUUUCUUUCUCUCGAAUUUUUUUUCCCACUUCUCACUUCUUUGAUUCCUUUCAUCGUUCCCCCUCAUGAAUUUGUAUAAGGAGCUAGCGGAGAACAUCACAGGGAGGUGAACCACCAAGGACGCCACUGCACCACCUCUCUCUCUCUCUCUCUCACACACACACACACACACAGACGACACUCGGCAGCAACUGCAAAUAAUCGACCUCCACCAAAUCUUCGUCGCCUAGUUGUCUUCGAUCUCGAUACAAACGUUCAAAAAACUAAGAUGAACCCUGUUCCCAAGCUCAUAAUUGUAGUCGUACUUGUUGAGUUGUGUGGAAGUCCUCAAGAGUGAAUGAAACGCCUUCCAUUGGUGCAGUGCAACACCGCUUGUAGGCCUCCUCGAAGAGUUCUUUGAGCUUGAUCCUUUCUUUGAUCUGAGCGUUUGAGAUUGCCACUGCUGUUGAGACAAUGAGAGAUACAGAAGUGAGCUUCUGAUGGAUUUGUUUAGAAGAGAAUAAUGGCUUUGAGAGCUGCGACUGCGAGGAAGAGUACUGUUGGACAUUUCAGCCCUGUGAAUUGCUGAGUCAAAGACGCCUCAAUGAUAUUAUUUUUAAAUUAAAAAUUAAAAAAAUUAAAUUAAUAUUAUUUUAUUAUUAUAUAAUAAAUAAAUAAUGUAGAGAUUUGAAAUAGUAAAAACUAAAUUCUUAUAUUAGCCAAAACAAAAGUUUUGACUUUUGCUAUUCCAAUGGGGACGCUAGGUGGAACACGUGCACUAGAACGUGUAAGCAGUAAACCCAUGCACUGCAUUUGACGUGGUUUUAAUAUAUCUUUGUUCUCGUUAUAAUUUAUGUAUGAGAAGGUCGGCUCAUAGAAGAGUUUAUUAAAUCAUUUUCUAUA